rnacentral:lncRNA from 1 species
CACCACGUGAGAAGUGCCUUUCGCCUCCCGCCAUGAUUCUGAGGCCUCCCUAGCCAUGGGGACCUGUCGUCGCUGCCCUCAGCCUCCAGAUGCAGCCCCCCUGCCACCUUCAGGACCCCUGGCUCUCCCCUGGACUCAGUAGCGAAAGGGUUUAUGUGCUCGGAGGGAGACCUUCAGGAAUCUGUGCAUAGAAUGCCAUAGUGCAGAGGAAAGUCUUCUUUCUGAAACCAGCCCAACUUUUCUCCCAGAGAGUAUCAUGGAACUGAACUUUCAAGAUCAUGGCAUCUGGACAUCGAGAAAACAGAACCCUCAUCUGGCCACCUGCUGCUUUUUGACCAAUUCCCAUAUAAACCGCUAACUUCAGUCAGUUGGAGGGAUGGAUUUGAGAUUUGCCUUCUGUCUCUCAGGUGAUGUCACCAGCAAUAAAGCCUUCUUCCCUGGC